CUAACUGUUUCGGAUAUUGUUAGACUGUGGCUUGGAUUUCUGAUGAGUAUUCUAAAUUUCAUGGCUACUCGCCCGCUAUUGUCAAAGGAAAACCAAUAGAGCUCUCGAUGGAUCACUUGGAAGAGAGGCUGUAACCGGUCGUGGUGUUGUUUUUGCUACAGAAGCCUUGCUUGCUGAUCAAGGGAAGUCAAUCAAAGACCGUGGCUUGGAUUUCUGAUGAGUAUUCUAAAUUCCAUGGCUAUUCGCCCGCUAUUGUCAAAGGAAAACCAAUAGAGCUCGGUGGAUCACUUGGAAGAGAGGCUGUAACCGGUCGUGGUGUUGUUUUUGCUACAGAAGCCUUAGCCUUGCUUGCUGAUCAUUGGAAGUCAAUCAAAGGGUUUUGGCAAUGUGGGAUCUUAGGUAGCAAGGCUGAUACACGAAAGGGGUGGUAAGAUCAUCGCGGUUAGUGAUGUUACUGGAGCUGUAAAUAACCCAAAUGGUCCUGACAAAGUAUCGUCUCUUAUAUAUAUUUAUUAAAUAUUGAAUCCCAUGCCGAAAGAGGAUAUAUUAUUUAAUCAGAUUAAGAUUAAUAUGAGGACAUAUGUUUUUAAAGACAUAAGUCCUAAUAAUGGUAAAGAACAAAUUGUUACGUCUAGCUUUAAGAUUCACUAAUGUUGGAAAAUCAAGUAUGAAUAAAAGUUGGGAUCUUCAUGGGUCUUUAAAAAUCUAAACGGAUCUGAUUUCUUUGUUCAAAAAGAGAAAAUGCAGGCGAUGUUAAAGCCAAGUUCAUCAUAGAAGCUGCAAAUAAUACAAUUGAUCCAGAAGCAUACGAGAUUUUGUCAAAGAAAGGAGUUGUAAUACUUCCGGAUAUAUAUGCAAAUGCUGGAGGCGUGACUGUUAGCUACUUUGAGUUAGUUCAGGUGAAGAUGGAAUAGUAGAAUCGUUGUCGCUUCAGUUUUUCCGUAUCUUAUUGUGUGUUUCCCCUUAUCUGUAUGUUUCCCCUCAUCGCAAUGACUAUAAACAAAAGUCAAGGACAAUUUCUAUCAACAGUUGGAUUGUAUUUCAAAUAUUCAGUUUUUCACAUGGUCAGCUUUAUGUUGCGUUAUCUAGAGUCAAAAGCAUAGCCGGUGUGAAGUUGCUUAUACUAGACAAAGAUGAGAAUGUAACGAGUAAAACAACAAAUUUAGUCUACAAGGAAG